AUGGAUGAGGUCACAAGGGGUAUACAAGGAUAUAUCCCAUGGUGUAUGCUCUUUGCGGAUGAUGUGGUGCUAGUUGACGAUAGUCGGACGGGGGUAAAUAGGAAGUUAGAGUUAUGGAGACAAACCUUGGAAUCGAAAGGGUUUAGGCUUAGUAGAACUAAAACCGAGUACAUGAUGUGCGGUUUCAGUACUACUAGCUGUGAGGAGGAGGAGGUUAGCCUUGAUGGCCAGGUGGUACCUCGGAAGGACACCUUUCGGUAUUUGGGGUCAAUGUUGCAGGAGGAUGGGGGUAUUGAUGAAGAUGUGAACCAUCGAAUCAAAGCCGGAUGGAUGAAGUGGCGCCAAGCUUCUGGCAUUCUCUGUGACAAGAGAGUGCCACAAAAGCUAAAAGGCAAGUUCUACAGGACGGCGGUUCGACCCGCAAUGUUGUAUGGCGCGGAGUGUUGGCCGACUAAAAGGCGACAUGUUCAACAGUUAGGUGUGGCGGAGAUGCGUAUGUUGAGAUGGAUCUGUGGCCACACGAGGAAGGAUCGAGUCCGGAAUGAUGAUAUACGAGAUAGAGUUGGGGUAGCACCAAUUGAGGAGAAGCUUGUCCAACAUCGUUUGAGAUGGUUUGGACAUAUUCAGCGCAGGCCUCCAGAAGCUCCAGUGCAUAGCGGACGGCUAAAGCGUGCGGAGAAUGUCAAGAGAGGGCGGGGUCGACCGAUUUUGACAUGGGAGGAGUCCGUUAAGAGAGACCUGAAGGAUUGGAGUAUCGACAAAGAGCUAGCUAUGGACAGGGGUGCGUGGAAGCUUGCUAUCCAUGUGCCAGAGCCAUGA
rnacentral:rRNA from 1 species